GGGGGGUUGACAGAGUGGACUAUCGUGCCUGAUUUAGGAUCAGGUGCCCUGUAGCCGCAGGGCCGCACGUUCGAAUCGUGUACCCCCCGCCA
rnacentral:tRNA from 1 species